AUUGAACGCUGGCGGCAGGCUUAACACAUGCAAGUCGAGCGGAGCGGCGGACGGGUGAGUAAUGCUUAGGAAUCUGCCUAUUAGUGGGGGACAACAUCUCGAAAGGGAUGCUAAUACCGCAUACUAAUCGAUGAGCCUAAGUCGGAUUAGCUAGUUGGUGGGGUAAAGGCCUCCCAUGGCGACGAUCUGUAGCGGGUCUGAGAGGGUGAUCCGCAACACUGGGACGGAGACACGGACCAGAAUCCUACGGGAGGCAGCAGUGGGGAAGAUUGGUCAAUGGGGGGAACCCGGAUCCAGCCAUGCCGAGUGCGGGAAGAAGGCCUUAGGGUUGUAAAGCACUUUAAGCGAGGAGGCGUUACUCGCAGAAUAAGCACCGGCUAACUCUGUGCCAGCAGCCGCGGUAAUUC
rnacentral:rRNA from 1 species